rnacentral:rRNA from 16 species
UCGUGAGACAGUUCGGUCCCUAUCCGUCGCGGGCGUAGGAAAUUUGAGAGGAUCUGCUCCUAGUACGAGAGGACCAGAGUGGACUUACCGCUGGUGUACCAGUUGUCUUGCCAAAGGCAUCGCUGGGUAGCUAUGUAGGGAAGGGAUAAACGCUGAAAGCAUCUAAGUGUGAAACCCACCUCAAGAUGAGAUUUCCCAUGAUUUUAUAUCAGUAAGAGCCCUGAGAGAUGAUCAGGUAGAUAGGUUAGAAGUGGAAGUGUGGCGACACAUGUAGCGGACUAAUACUAAUAGCUCGA